CUCCCCCCAGCUCAGAAAGAGACCAGCUUCACCCAGAGCAUACUCCCUCCAAGCAGUGCAGACCAGGGCCACCCCGAGAGGCUGUGGGGGCCGCGGCGGAGUCGGGAGGGCUCGUGGGGUGCUCGGGGUCCGACGUCGCCAGGGGGUGUGUAGGUGGCGCGCGCCUCAAAAGUGGGUCUUCAGCGAGCUGGAGAACACGAGCGGGGGAGACCCGGGCUGGGGAGACCAAAGGGAGAGAGCGCGGACGCCUGGCGAGGAGAGGCUAGCGCUCCCCGGCCGGCUUUGUUGUGGUCGCCCGAGGCGCGGCGGCGGGGCCCCAGGAACCCCGGCUGCCGGCCGUGGUAGUUACACCAGGACGCCCGCGCCGGGCCGGGGAGACGCGGCUGGCUCCGGAUGAACUUUUCCCAAAAGGAAAAGGAGGACAGUGAGGAAGGAAGAAGAACUCCAAGAUUAAAAAUGUCCUUCUCGUUUGAUGCCGAGUUGCUGGUCGACAUGUUUUUUAAAGGAUCCCCUCAAGUCUGAUAGGAAAGACAGGACUACUUCUGGACUAGCUGUAAGGAUGUGUUUUUGUUUCUAUAACACUGAAGCACUUUUCAUAAACCUUUUACUGUAUCUAUAUAAGUCUAUUUGGACAUUAAAAGAAGCGAAGGCACAAAGAUAGCUUGGCUUUAUGCCCUCAAUCUAGCCUUAACAACAACAACAAAAUCCAGAAUCUGAG
rnacentral:lncRNA from 1 species